rnacentral:rRNA from 1 species
CAAUAGCGUAUAUUAAAGUUGUUGCGGUUAAAAAGCUCGUAGUUGGAUUUCUGCUGAGGACGAUCGGUCCGCCCACUGGGUGAGUAUCUGGCUCGGCCUUGGCAUCUUCUUGGAGAACGUUGCUGCACUUGACUGUGUGGUGCGGUAUCCAGGACUUUUACUUUGAGGAAAUUAGAGUGUUUCAAGCAGGCGCACGCCUUGAAUACAUUAGCAUGGAAUAAUAAGAUAGGACCUUAGUUCUAUUUUGUUGGUUUCUAGAGCUGAGGUAAUGAUUAAUAGGGAUAGUUGGGGGCAUUCGUAUUUAACUGUCAGAGGUGAAAUCCUUGGAUUUGUUAAAGACGGACUACUGCGAAAGCAUUUGCCAAGGAUGUUUUCAUUGA